rnacentral:lncRNA from 1 species
AGCUCAAUUGACACCAGGUAUGACUUGUCAGUCUCUACAUUCUCUCCUGAUGGAAGAGUUUUUUGAGUUGAAUAUGCUGUGAAGGCUGUGGAAAAUAGUACAGCCACUGGACUCAGAUGUAAAGAUGGUGGUGGCUUUGGGGUAGAAAAGGGAGUCUUCCUAAACUUUAUGAAGAAGGCUCCAACAAAAGACUUUUUAAUAUUGAUUGGCAUGUUGGAAUGGUGGUAGCAGGUUUGUUGACAGAUGCCCCUUCUUUGGCAGAUAUAACAAGAGAAGACGCUUCCAACUUUAGAUCUAGCUUUGGCUAUACCAUUCCACAAAAACAUCUUGCAGACACAGUUGCCAUGCAUAUACACUCUGCAGUGCUGUUAGACCUUUUGGCUGCAGUUUUACAGUAGGGUCUUACAGCGUGAACAACAGGGCACAAUUCUGCAAGAUGUUUCGUAUGGUUAUUGGGGCUGUACCCUUGGCAAAGCCAGGCACGCUGCAAAGAUAGAAAAUAGAAAAGCUUCAGGUGAAAGAAAUGACCUGCCAUGUUAUUGUUAAGAAGUUGCAAAAAUAUUUACAUAGUAUAUGAUGAAGUUAAGAAUAAACCUUUUAAAUUAGAACUCAGCAGGGUUGGUGAAUUAACUAAAGGAAGAAGACAUGAAAUUAUUCCAAAAGAUAUAAGGGAAGAAGAAGAGAAACAUGCCAAGGAAUCUUUGAAGGAAGAAGAUGAAUCAGAUGAUGACAAUAU